GCUGGGUGUGGUGGCGGGCGCCUGUAAUCCCAGAUACUCAGGAGGCUGAGGCGGGAGAAUUGCUUGAACCUGGGAGGCAGAGGUUGCAGUGAGCCAAGACAGGCGCCACUGCACUCCAGCCCGGGUGACAGAGCGAGACUCCGUCUCAA
rnacentral:SRP_RNA from 1 species